UGUAUUUAUUAGAUUAAAAACCAAUGCCCUUCGGGGCUCACUGGUGAUUCAUGAUAACUCCUCGAAUCGCAUGGCCUUGCGCCGGCGAUGGUUCAUUCAAAUUUCUUCCCUAUCAACUUUCGAUGUUUGGGUAUUGGCCAAACAUGGUUGCAACGGGUAACGGAGGGUUAGGGCUCGACCCCGGAGAAGGAGCCUGAGAAACGGCUACUACAUCCAAGGAAGGCAGCAGGCGCGCAAAUUACCCAAUCCCGACACGGGGAGGUAGUGACAAUAAAUACUGAUACAGGGCUCUUUUGGGUCUUGUAAUUGGAAUGAGUACAAUUUAAAUCCCUUAACGAGGAACAAUUGGAGGGCAAGUCUGGUGCCAGCAGCCGCGGUAAUUCCAGCUCCAAUAGCGUAUAUUAAAGUUGUUGUGGUUAAAAAGCUCGUAGUUGAACCUUGGGCCUGGCCGUCCGGUCCGCCUCACCGCGUGUACUGGCUCGGCCGGGCCUUUCCCUCUGUGGAACCCCAUGCCCUUCACUGGGCGUGGCGGGGAACCAGG
rnacentral:rRNA from 1 species